rnacentral:rRNA from 1 species
CUACGGAAGGCAGCAGUGGGGAAUAUUGCACAAUGGGCGAAAGCCUGAUGCAGCUAUGCCGCGUGUAUGAAGAAGGCCUUAGGGUUGUAAAGUACUUUCAUCGGGGAGGAAAAACAAAACUAAUAAUUUUAUUUCUUGACGUUACCCGAAAAAGAAGCACCGGCUAACUCCGUGCCAGCAGCCGCGGUAAUACGGAGGGUGCUAGCGUUAAUCAGAAUUACUGGGCGUAAAGAGCACGUAGGUGGUUUUUUUAAGUCAGAUGUGAAAUCCCUGGGCUUAACCUAGGAACUGCAUUUUGAAACUGAAAUACUAGAGUAUCGUAGAGGGAGGUAGAAUUCUAGGUGUAGCGGUGAAAUGCGUAGAUAUCUGGAGGAAUACCUGUGGCGAAAGCGGCCUCCUAAACGAAUACUGACACUGAGGUGCGAAAGCGUGGGGAGCAAACAGGGAUUAGAUACC